GUUGGAACGACUGCUAAUACCGCAUAAUGUCUACGGACCAAAGGGCGUCUUCGGCUCUCGCCUUUAGAUUGGCCCAAGUGGGAUUAGCUAGUUGGUGAGGUAAUGGCUCACCAAGGCGACGAUCCCUAGCUGGUUUGAGAGGAUGAUCAGCCACACUGGGACUGAGACACGGCCCAGACUCCUACGGGAGGCAGCAGUGGGGAAUAUUGCACAAUGGGCGCAAGCCUGAUGCAGCCAUGCCGCGUGUGUGAAGAAGGCCUUCGGGUUGUAAAGCACUUUCAGUCAGGAGGAAAGGUUAGUAGUUAAUACCUGCUAGCUGUGACGUUACUGACAGAAGAAGCACCGGCUAACUCCGUGCCAGCAGCCGCGGUAAUACGGAGGGUGCGAGCGUUAAUCGGAAUUACUGGGCGUAAAGCGUACGCAGGCGGUUUGUUAAGCGAGAUGUGAAAGCCCCGGGCUCAACCUGGGAACUGCAUUUCGAACUGGCAAACUAGAGUGUGAUAGAGGGUGGUAGAAUUUCAGGUGUAGCGGUGAAAUGCGUAGAGAUCUGAAGNGAANUANCCNGANUGGCGANGGCAGCCACCUGGGUCANCACUGACGCUCAUGUACGAAAGCGUGGGGAGCAAACGGGAUUAGAUACCCCGAUAGUCCACGCCGUAAACGAUGUCUACUAGAAGCUCGGAGCCUCGGUUCUGUUUUUCAAAGCUAACGCAUUAAGUAGACCGCCUGGGGAGUACGGNCCGCAAGGNUUAAAACUCAAAUGAAUUGACGGGGGCCCGCACAAGCGGUNGGAGCAUGUGGUUUAAUUNCGAUGCAACGCGNAAGAACCNUUACCUGGUNCUUGACAUAUCNUAGAAUCCUNGCAGAGAUGNCGGGAGNUGCCNUUNCGGGAANUUAGAAUACAGGUGCUGCAUGGCUNGUNCGUCAGCUCGUGUNNCGUGANGANUGUUGGGUUAAGUCCCGCNAACGNAGCGCAACCCUUGUCCUUAGUUACCAGCGGGUUAAGCCGGGAACUCUAAGGAUACUGCCAGUGACAAACUNGGAGGAAGGCGGGGACGACGUNCAAGUCAUCAUGGCCCUUANCGUGUAGGGCUNACACACAUGCUNNACNAAUGNGNCGCAUACAGAGUGCUGCGAACCUGCGAAGGUAAGCGAAUCACUUAAAGUGCGUCGUAGUCCGGAUUGGAGUCUGCAACUCGACUCCAUGAAGUCGGAAUCGCUAGUAAUCGCGUAUCAGAAUGACGCGGUGAAUACGUUCCCGGGCCUUGUACACACCGCCCGUCACACCAUGGGAGUGGGUUGCUCCAGAAGUAGAUAGUCUAACCCUCGGGAGGACGUUUACCACGGAGUGAUUCAUGACUGGG
rnacentral:rRNA from 1 species